AGAGUUUGAUCCUGGCUCAGGACGAACGCUGGCGGCGUGCUUAACACAUGCAAGUCGAACGGUAAGGCCCUUCGGGGUACACGAGUGGCGAACGGGUGAGUAACACGUGGGUAAUCUGCCCUGCACAUCGGGAUAAGCCUGGGAAGCUGGGUCUAAUACCGAAUAGGACCACAGGACACAUGUCCUGUGGUGGAAAGCUUUUGCGGUGUGGGAUGGGCCCGCGGCCUAUCAGCUUGUUGGUGGGGUGAUGGCCUACCAAGGCGACGACGGGUAGCCGGCCUGAGAGGGUGUCCGGCCACACUGGGACUGAGAUACGGCCCAGACUCCUACGGGAGGCAGCAGUGGGGAAUAUUGCACAAUGGGCGAAAGCCUGAUGCAGCGACGCCGCGUGGGGGAUGACGGCCUUCGGGUUGUAAACCUCUUUCACCAUCGACGAAGGUCCGGGUUUUCUCGGGCUGACGGUAGGUGGAGAAGAAGCACCGGCCAACUACGUGCCAGCAGCCGCGGUAAUACGUAGGGUGCGAGCGUUGUCCGGAAUUACUGGGCGUAAGGAGCUCGUAGGUGGUUUGUCGCGUUGUUCGUGAAAUCUCACGGCUUAACUGUGAGCGUGCGGGCGAUACGGGCAGACUUGAGUACUGCAGGGGAGACUGGAAUUCCUGGUGUAGCGGUGGAAUGCGCAGAUAUCAGGAGGAACACCGGUGGCGAAGGCGGGUCUCUGGGCAGUAACUGACGCUGAGGAGCGAAAGCGUGGGGAGCGAACAGGAUUAGAUACCCUGGUAGUCC
rnacentral:rRNA from 1 species